UGAACGCUAGCGGCAGGCUUAACACAUGCAAGUCAGGGGCAGCAUAAUGGAUAGCAAUAUCUAUGGUGGCGACCGGCGCACGGGUGCGUAACGCGUAUGCAACUACCCAUAACAGGGGGAUAACACUGAGAAAUUGGUACUAAUACCCCCAUAACAUCAGGACCGGCAUCGGUUCUGGUUGAAAACUCCGGUGGUUAUGGAUGGGCAUGCGUUGUAUUAGCUGGUUGGUGAGGUAACGGCUCACCAAGGCAACGAUACAUAGGGGGACUGAGAGGUUAACCCCCCACAUUGGUACUGAGACACGGACCAAACUCCUACGGGAGGCAGCAGUGAGGAAUAUUGGUCAAUGGACGCAAGUCUGAACCAGCCAUGCCGCGUGCAGGAAGACGGCUCUAUGAGUUGUAAACUGCUUUUGUACGAGAGUAAACGCUCUUACGUGUAAGAGCCUGAAAGUAUCGUACGAAUAAGGAUCGGCUAACUCCGUG
rnacentral:rRNA from 1 species